CGUUGCCUACGGGAGGCAGCAGUGGGGGAUAUUGCACAAGGGGGGGAACCCUGAUGCAGCGACGCCGCGUGGGUGAAGAAGCGCCUCGGCGCGUAAAGCCCUGUCAGCAGGGAAGAAAAUGACGGUACCUGAAGAAGAAGCCCCGGCUAACUACGUGCCAGCAGCCGCGGUAAUACGUAGGGGGCAAGCGUUAUCCGGAUUUACUGGGUGUAAAGGGGGCGCAGGCGUCGAU
rnacentral:rRNA from 1 species